rnacentral:rRNA from 1 species
UACGGGGGGGGGCAAGCGUUGUUCGGAAUUACUGGGCGUAAAGGGCGCGUAGGCGGUUCGAUAAGUCAGCUGUGAAAACCAUGGGCUUAACUCAUGGCCUGCAGUUGAGACUGUCGGGCUGGAGUGUGGGAGAGGAGAGUGGAAUUCCUGGUGUAGCGGUGAAAUGCGUAGAUAUCAGGAGGAACACCGGUGGCGAAGGCGGCUCUCUGGACCACAACUGACGCUGAGGCGCGAAAGCUAGGGGAGCAAACAGG